GAUGAACGCUAGCGGCAGGCUUAAUACAUGCAAGUCGAACGGUAACAGGUCUUUCGGGACGCUGACGAGUGGCGAACGGGUGAGUAACGCGUACCCAACCUACCUUGUACAGGAAGAUAGCCCCGGGAAACUGGGAUUAAUACUCCAUAAUGUUUUCGGAUCGCAUGAUCUGAUUAUUAAAGCUCCGGCGGUACAAGAUGGGGGUGCGUCCAAUUAGUUUGUUGGUGGGGUAACGGCCUACCAAGACUACGAUAGGUAGCUGGCGUGAGAGCGCGACCAGCCACACUGGAACUGAGACACGGUCCAG
rnacentral:rRNA from 1 species